rnacentral:piRNA from 1 species
CCUGAACUCAAAAUAACCAUCUGUGGGCUA